rnacentral:rRNA from 1 species
AUUGAACGCUGGCGGCAGGCUUAACACAUGCAAGUCGAGCGGAGCGAGGGUGCUUGCACCUUAGCUUAGCGGCGGACGGGUGAGUAAUGCUUAGGAAUCUGCCUAUUAGUGGGGGACAACAUUCCGAAAGGAAUGCUAAUACCGCAUACGCCCUACGGGGGAAAGCAGGGGAUCUUCGGACCUUGCGCUAAUAGAUGAGCCUAAGUCGGAUUGGCUAGUUGGUGGGGUAAAGGCCUACCAAGGCGACGAUCUGUAGCGGGUCUGAGAGGAUGAUCCGCCACACUGGGACUGGGACACGGGCCAGACUCCUACGGGAGGCAGCAGUGGGGAAUAUUGGACAAUGGGCGGAAGCCUGAUCCGGCCAUGCCGCGUGUGUGAAGAAGGCCUUUUGGUUGUAAAGCACUUUAAGCGAGGAGGAGGCUCUUAAGGUUAAUACCCUUGAUGAGUGGACGUUACUCGCAGAAUAAGCACCGGCUAACUCUGUGCCAGCAGCCGCUGUAAUAC